AUACGGAGGAUGCGAGCGUUAUCCGGAUUUAUUGGGUUUAAAGGGAGCGUAGGUGGGAUAUUAAGUCAGCUGUGAAAGUUUGGGGCUCAACCUUAAAGUUGCAGUUGAUACUGGUUUCCUUGAGUACGGUAUAGGUGGGCGGAAUUCGUGGUGUAGCGGUGAAAUGCUUAGAUAUCACGAAGAACUCCGAUCGCGAAGGCAGCUCACCGGGCCGGAACUGACACUGAUGCUCGAAAGUGCGGGUAUCAAACAGGAUUAGAUACCCUGGUAGUCCGCACAGUAAACGAUGAAUACUCGCUGUUUGCGAUACACGGUAAGCGGCCAAGCGAAAGCGUUAAGUAUUCCACCUGGGGAGUACGCCGGCAACGGUGAAACUCAAAUGAAUUGGCGGGG
rnacentral:rRNA from 1 species